GACGAACGCUGGCGGCGUGCUUAACACAUGCAAGUCGAACGGUAAAGCGCCUUCCUUUUUGGUGGGUGUGGGUGAGUGGCGAACGGGUUAGUAACACGUUAGUAACCUGCUCUCUUCUUCUGGAUAACCGCAUGAAAGUGUGGCUAAUACCGGAUACUCUGUGUCUGUCGCAUCAUGGGUUUGUGAAAGCUUUUGUUUCUGUAUGGGAUGGGCUCGCGGACUAUCAGCUUGUUGGUGAGGUGAUGGCCUACCAAGGCGGUGAGGCGUGGCCGGCAUGAGAGGAUGAACCGCAACAGAAGGAAGGAAACACGGAGAAGCCUACGAGAGGAAGCAGUGGGGAAGAAUAGAGAACGGGGGGAGGAAGGAUGAAGCAGCGACGCGGCGGGAGAGAAGGAGGCCGUGGGGUUGAGAACCUCUGUCGGGAGAGAAGAGGGGCUGCCUAGUAUGUGGGUGGGUUGACGGUAGCUGGAGAAGAAGCGCCGGCUAACUACGUG
rnacentral:rRNA from 1 species